AUUAGAAAAUCCCCCUUUUCUUCCUCUCACACCGCAACCCCCCUCCCCUCACAAUAACUCCCUCUCCCUUUUACAUUUUGUCUCCUUCUCGUAACCUAGCCCACUGCCGCCGAUUUCAGCCACCAUUCUUGUUCCUCCGGCCAUCGCUCAGUGUUCGUCGUCGCUGCGCCGCACCUCCAACGAAUGAUCGACCGCGAGCAUCUUUGGUUCGGCUUCCAUGUGCACCCAUCGCUGUCGAUCUCUCCAUCUCCAUCCGAUCUUUCUCUUUCAAACUCGUCGUGUGGUUCUGUCUUAUCACUGCCCAAUCUCAGACCUGCUGUGGCGUUUUGGGUAGGUUUUUGGUUUCUUGUAUGGGUUUUCUUGGCGAAUCUUAAACACCCACCGAAUCUGCACCAGACGCCAUCGGAUCCAUGCCAAACGCCCACCGGUCAGCCACCAUACAACGUCCACCGGCCAGUCAUCCACCAGAUCCGCGUCAGUCGCCCAGCCUAGCCUCGCACCAAAUCCGAUCAGUCCUCGCACCAGAUUCGGUCAGUCCUCCACCAAAUUCGCCGUACAGCCGCGCUGUCCCUCUCAAGUAAGAGCUUCUUAUAGUUUUAUGAGUGUUCUUGUUCCUCUUUUGUUUUUAUUUUCAGGCAAGUUGGUCAAGGCUCGAGUGAAGCAUCAAUUUGAGCAAACACUUCAGGUAAGUGUUUUGGAUGUAUUAGAAUGAAUUUGUGAUUUGGGUAGGUAAGUGUUUUGGAUGUAUUAGAAUGAAUUUGUGAUUUGGGUUAUAAUGUUGCAUCUUCUGUAAUGAUUUUCUUGUUUGAAUGUUUGAUGAUGAGAUUGAUUUUGAAGUGUUGGAAGAGUUGAGUUGUUGUCCAAUAGGUUUGAGACCGAUCUUAACAAGGUUUUGUUAAGUUUUGAGGUUAGUAUUAAUAGUUAUUUGUUACCCAUUGAAGUAUUGGUCUAAUAAUUUAGUUAUUUUCAAUUUUUGAUAUUCAAUACAAAGAUUUCAAGGGAUUGGAGCAAGUAUCCAACAAAGUUAACGAUGUUUGGACGUUUUGAUAGGUUGGAUUACUUCGUUAUAGUUUUGAAGUGGCAUUCAAAUUAAGUCAUACUUUGGGUAAUCUAUUUGGAGUUAAUCGAUUAUUUUGGUGAAUGAAAUUUUGAAGAAUUGGGCUUCCAAUCUAUUGUAACGACUCGACCCCCUAGGACUUAGGUUAGGCCGUUACUAAAAUAAAUGCGUAUGUUGAGCUCAGUUAUGUUGAAAUAAAUGCUAAAUAGACAAGAGAAGUUCAAAAGC